rnacentral:snoRNA from 1 species
UGAAAUGAUGAAGUGCAUUGGGCUCUGAUCAAUUUAUGCAUAAAUUGAAGGAAUCACAUUUGCCUAGACUGCAUUGUAUGACUC